CUGAUUCAGAAAGCCACUAGAAACUGAAGCAGAUGUGGAUAUAACAUCUACAUACAAGCCUGUUGUAGGGCCUCUGAAUAGUCUGACCCACUGGGGAACAGCUCAAAGCUCCAAGGCAUGGAUGGCCCAGAGGAGACUGGGAUAUAAAGAAUUACAGAAAAAAUGGAAUCCUGCACCAUUUGUAUGUGAAACAGGACAACAAAAGAGCAGUUAGUCUACAGGGAUGGAGGAAAAUCACACCGGAGACCAUCCAAGGGUCUCCCCAUUGGAAAAAGGUCUAGGAAUUCAGCAUUUGCAAAGAUCCAAACUGGAGGUUAAUUAGAAGGAUUGGGCUGAGAACUGGAGACUAGACCUUCGUUCUGGACAAAAGGAAAAGGGAUAAGGACAGAGGAAGGUGAUGUCUGCCAGCUGCUGCUCCAAAUAAAAUGCACCUAC
rnacentral:lncRNA from 1 species